UACGUAGGGUGCAAGCGUUGCCCGGAUUUAUUGGGCGUAAAGGGCGCGUAGGCGGCUCGGCACGUCCGUUGUGAAAUCGCCCGGCUCAACUGGGCGGGGUCAGCGGAUACGGCCGAGCUUGAGCAAGCUAGGGGGCAAUGGAAUUCCCGGUGUAGUGGUGGAAUGCGUAGAUAUCGGGAGGAACACCAGUGGCGAAGGCGGGUCUCUGGGCCAUAACUGACGCUGAGGAGCGAAAGCGUGGGGAGCGAACAGG
rnacentral:rRNA from 1 species